rnacentral:lncRNA from 1 species
AGGGUAAAUUACAAACACCCCUGAGGUAUGGUCAAAUUACAAAAAAACCCCUCUUGUUUGGAUAAUUACAUCUACCCCCCUCAACUAUGAUUUUUUCUUAGACCUCCACCUUUAUGGUGCCAAAUUCAACAUAGUCAUCUAGAUUCCGUGAAAUGUGCUCUAGUUUGUACUCGUUUUGUGUAAAAAAUACAGUUUCCGAUGCACCACAAACUGAUAUAUACAAGCUAAAAAUCACAUAUUAUGAUC